UGGGAAACUAAUAUGAAGCUCUAAACGUUCAAACUUUACAGCUGCUUUGUAUACACAUCUGAAAUCUUUAAAUUUCAAGACUGUGAAAGUGAAAAACAAAGAUUAAACAAAACAAAACAAUGGUGUUAAAUUGGUCACAGAAAUGCGAAAAAGUCAGAGAUCAAGCUAUAAUUUAUACAUGAGAAUGAAUAACAACACUACCUUAUGGUUGUGGAAGCUAAAACGUAAGCUUUGCUGUUUUAGCUUUUGCUUGGACAUAUCUGAUCACUGAUCACAAAAAGUUUAAUAUCUCAAACAUCAAACUUCCAUCUAACUUUUAAACACACAAAAAAGCAGCUUCAGUACCAUAUCAGAGACUUGAAAGCUUACCAUAUCAGAGGGUCUACCACAUUCCAAGCGAAAAGACUCAAAAGCUCUAUUGCUCUGGCCUUUUUUGGGGUCAAGACAUAUCUUUUAUAC
rnacentral:lncRNA from 1 species